rnacentral:lncRNA from 1 species
UAGUGUCAAAAGCUAAUUAUAUUCUAUUUCUAUUUUUUGUAAAUUAUAAAAAUCCCUUAAAAUUAUAGGAUCUUGGUUAUAUCGGGAAGUUUGCAGAUACAUAGCUCACAGAUUGCGAAUGAUACAUUACUUAAUGGGAGAGAUAUAUCAUGUAUCCGAGAUGAGAGAGAAGUAUUCGAAAGGGGAUAUGGAUGUAUCGGGAAGAGGGAAGGGAUGUAUCCGAGAAG